CGGCGGAACACGUGAAAUUCCGUCGGAAUCCGGGAGGACCAUCUCCCAAGGCUAAAUACUCCCUAGUGACCGAUAGUGAACCAGUACCGUGAGGGAAAGGUGAAAAGCACCCCGGAAGGGGAGUGAAACAGUUCCUGAAACCGUGUGCCUACAAGUAGUUAGAGCCCGUUAAUGGGUGAUAGCGUGCCUUUUGUAGAAUGAACCGGCGAGUUACGAUUUGUUGCAAGGUUAAGCGGAAAAAGCGGAGCCGUAGCGAAAGCGAGUCUGAAUAGGGCGCAUAAGUAACAGGUCGUAGACCCGAAACCAGGUGAUCUACCCAUGUCCAGGAUGAAGGUAAGGUAAUACUUACUGGAGGUCCGAACCCACGCACGUUGAAAAGUGCGGGGAUGAGGUGUGGGUAGCGGAGAAAUUCCAAUCGAACUUGGAGAUAGCUGGUUCUCUCCGAAAUAGCUUUAGGGCUAGCCUCGAGGUAAAGAGUCAU
rnacentral:rRNA from 1 species